rnacentral:pre_miRNA from 1 species
AGCCUUUUGAAUCCGUGCUGAUAUUUCGUCAGACACCAACUUAUUAGGGCUGAUCAGACUUCUAAGGUAAGUGAAGUU